GACGUAGGGCGCGAGCGUUGUUCGGAUUCAUUGGGCGUAAAGGGCUCGUAGGUGGCCAACUAAGUCAGACGUGAAAUCCCUCAGCUUAACUGGGGAACUGCGUCUGAUACUGGAUGGCUUGAGUUUGGGAGAGGGAUGCGGAAUUCCAGGUGUAGCGGUGAAAUGCGUAGAUAUCUGGAGGAACACCGGUGGCGAAGGCGGCAUCCUGGACCAACACUGACACUGAGGAGCGAAAGCCAGGGGAGCAAACGGG
rnacentral:rRNA from 1 species